rnacentral:rRNA from 1 species
CCUACGGGUGGCAGCAGUGAGGAAUAUUGGUCAAUGGGCGCGAGCCUGAACCAGCCAAGUAGCGUGAAGGAUGACUGCCCUACGGGUUGUAAACUUCUUUUAUAAAGGAAUAAAAUGAGGCACGUGUGCCUUUUUGUAUGUACUUUAUGAAUAAGGAUCGGCUAACUCCGUGCCAGCAGCCGCGGUAAUACGGAGGAUCCGAGCGUUAUCCGGAUUUAUUGGGUUUAAAGGGAGCGUAGAUGGGUUGUUAAGUCAGUUGUGAAAGUUUGCGGCUCAAGCGUAAAAUUGCAAUUGAUACUGGCAUGCUUGAGUACAGAUGAGGUAGGCGGAAUGCGUGGUGUAGCGGUGAAAUGCUUAGAUAUCACGAAGAACCCCGAUUGCGAAGGCAGCUUACGAAUCUGCGACUGACAUUGAUGCUCGAAAGUGUGGGUAUCAAACAGGAUUAGAUACCCCAGUAGUC